UUCAUUCCUUUUAGUUUAUCCUGCAGUUAGUUCGCCAGUCUGCUAUUGCCCCGCUGUCUACACGGCUUGUUUUUUGUUUCCGCCGUGAUUACGAGUCUGCAAUUGAUUUCAAACUUUACUUUUGCAGACCAAUAAAGAAGUAACUUACGCGGAACUGCAACUGGUUCGGCCCAACUCUCUAGAACCGCUUCGUAACGGAGAUAAUCAAUGCGGUGGCGGGAUGGUUAACAAAGAGAAUUCUGUAAUCUACGCCCAAAUUGAUCAUACGAAAAGGGCCCCCCCAGGCUCGCUACGGAUGUCUGUCACAUCACCCCUGACUUCGCCCGUUUCCUCUCUCUUCUGCCCGAUUAAACCCACCGCAUACCACAGAGAAAUCGUAACGGUAAGAACCCCUUUGAUGGGAUGUCAGCAGGAGAGCUGUGUUUGACUUUAACGGUUUCGAACGAUUCUACCUACCACGUGGUGGUUUUGGAUUUAUCAAAGUGCGUGUGUUGUUUUGUAAACUCGCAGUGUAAUAUUAUAUAAUUAUAGACAAAAAAUAAUUGAAAACUGAAGAGCCGAUUUUAACCGCUGCGCCGGUUUUUGUUCCAAGUUCUUUAAUUGUUUUCUUCGGUGAAUGAUAAAUAUAGAAACUGAUACUGUUACGAAAAAGGUUUUGAAGAGGGCCCAAUCUAUUCAGAGAAACUGUAGAACGUCGUUUAAUGAAAUUAUAUAGAAGUCUAACGUACUAUUUAUUACUUAAACAACGAAGCUUUCUACCUUAACAUCACUGUUAGAUAUUCGACAAGAAAUUUCUAAAUCUGGAAGUCCCGAUUCCAAAUUGUUUUAGUUUCUGCAGAAUUGGUAAGUGGAUUUAUAUUUUCUUUUUCUAAUCUACCUUGACCUCAACUGAACAUUUCGCUUACUCGUUUGAGUUUUUUCAAGUUAAAUAUUGAAACAACAACUGAAGUAACAUUACAUAACUUUAAAAUAGGAAACGAAUGGACAAUAUCUUUAACUAAAUUUCUUGUUAAGUUAGAUCUUGACAAAUAUCUCGUAAAAACUCAGAACGAGUGACAUAUCUAUUAUAAUCUACUAAAGGUUAUUUACCUGAAAAUUCUAAUUUGUUUUUACAAAAUUUAAAAUACCACGCAGAAAAAUGAAGGUCCACUUAAUUUCUUUGUAACUCAAUCUUUGAAAAAAUAUUAAUUUGCCACUCGAUACGUAUUUCAUCAGGAGCAACAAUUAUAAUUUUUAACAUCAAAAUUCCAUCUACUUAUUCAAAUGGCGUAGCAAAGAAACUAAAGAUUUCAUAAAAUCGUAUUGUGAAUUUUCACAGUGUGGAAACUACAAAUGUAUUAUACCAGAAAAUUUUUCUGUUUAAAAUUAAUUUAAAAAAAAUUGUUAAAAUUUUCUUUUACUGUUUAAUAUAAAAACUAGUUAAAAUGUUUGCGAAACCCAAGCGACAUUUCUGAUACAAUUUUUUUAAUUGUAUUUAAAAAAGAGGUAACUGAGAUUGUAUCAGGGGCGGAAUGCGCCCCAUCGUCUAGUCGAUUGCGCAAACAGUGUUAUUAUUUAAUUAAAGAGUUUAUUGAAAGACUGAAGUUUUUGUAUAUCAUUUAUGAAUACAUUUAUCUUUCCAAUAUUGUAUAUGUCUUGCACGUAAGUGUACGUCUUGUAAAUACACAUAUCUCUCUUACAUAAAAGAUGUUCUUUUAUUGGAAAAUGUGAUAACUAACCGUAUUAAAAAGAGAAAUAAGGCCAUCAAUAAGGCUGGGGUUAAUUUUUUUCUUUCUCAUUGUGGCAGAUGUGUGUAUGUUACCGGGCUGUGUAACAGUACAACCCAUCAAAAAUGAAUGUUCUUUGACCACUAUUCUUGUUGUAACUUAAUGGUCUUCAAAUAUAAUUUCAUAAAAAUUUA